rnacentral:sRNA from 1 species
GGAUAAGGUAGAGAGAGACAUACCCAGGAGAUGAAAUGACUCAAAACAUGAGCACCGAGAAGUCCGCCUGAAGUGUGUGAAGGCCCUGAAAGGGCUGUACGGUAACCGGGACCUGACCACACGCCUGGAGCUCUUCACCAGCCGCUUCAAGGACCGGAUGGUUUCCAUGGUCAUGGACAGAGAGUAUGAUGUGGCAGUGGAGGCUGUCAGAUUACUGAUACUUAUCCUUAAGAACAUGGAAGGGGUGCUGACGGACGCGGACUGUGAGAGCGUCUACCCCGUUGUGUAUGCCUCUCAUCGAGGCCUGGCCUCUGCCGCAGGCGAAUUUCUGUACUGGAAACUCUUCUACCCUGAGUGCGAGAUAAGAAUGAUGGGUGGAAGAGAGCAACGCCAGAGCCCAGGCGCCCAGAGGACUUUCUUCCAGCUUCUGCUGUCCUUCUUUGUGGAGAGCGAGCUCCAUGACCACGCUGCUUACUUAGUAGACAGUCUGUGGGACUGUGCAGGGGCUCGGCUGAAGGACUGGGAGGGUCUGACAAGCCUGCUGCUGGAGAAGGACCAGAACCUGGGUGAUGUGCAGGAGAGCACACUGAUAGAAAUCCUUGUGUCCAGUGCCCGGCAAGCUUCAGAGGGGCACCCGCCUGUGGGCCGGGUCACUGGGAGGAAGGGCUUAACCUCUAAGGAGCGCAAGACCCAAGCCGAUGACAGGGUGAAGUUGACUGAGCACCUCAUCCCCCUGCUGCCCCAGCUCCUGGCCAAGUUCUCAGCUGAUGCAGAGAAGGUCACUCCCCUGCUCCAGCUUCUCAGCUGCUUUGACCUCCACAUCUACUGCACUGGGCGCUUGGAGAAGCACCUGGAGCUGUUCCUGCAGCAACUCCAGGAGGUGGUGGUGAAGCAUGCAGAGCCAGCGGUGCUUGAGGCUGGGGCGCAUGCCCUCUACCUGCUCUGUAAUCCCGAAUUCACUUUCUUCAGCCGGGCGGACUUUGCCCGCAGCCAGCUAGUAGAUUUGCUGACUGACCGCUUCCAGCAGGAGCUUGAAGAGCUGUUACAGUCGUCCUUCCUAGAUGAGGAUGAGGUAUAUAAUCUGGCAGCCACUCUGAAACGCCUCUCUGCCUUCUACAACGCUCAUGACCUGACUCGCUGGGAGCUCUAUGAGCCAUGUUGCCAACUCCUGCAGAAGGCUGUGGACACAGGAGAGGUUCCUCACCAGGUUAUCCUGCCAGCCUUGACUCUUGUCUAUUUUUCCAUUCUCUGGACACUAACCCACAUUUCUAAAUCAGAUGCUUCCCAGAAGCAGCUGUCGAGUUUGAGGGACAGAAUGGUGGCCUUCUGUGAACUCUGCCAGAGUUGCCUCUCAGAUGUGGAUACUGAGAUCCAGGAGCAGGCUUUUGUCUUAUUAAGUGAUCUACUUCUCAUCUUUAGCCCUCAGAUGAUUGUUGGGGGCCGUGAUUUCCUUAGGCCACUUGUCUUUUUUCCUGAAGCUACUCUCCAGUCUGAGCUAGCCAGCUUCCUCAUGGACCACGUCUUCAUCCAGCCGGGAGACCUGGGCAGUGGUGAUUCCCAGGAGGAUCAUUUACAGAUAGAGCGGCUACACCAGCGGCGCCGCCUCCUAGCCGGGUUCUGCAAGCUGUUGCUUUAUGGGGUGCUGGAGAUGGAUGCAGCCUCAGAUGUUUUCAAACACUACAACAAGUUCUACAAUGACUAUGGUGACAUUAUCAAGGAAACAUUAACUAGAGCAAGGCAGAUUGACCGAAGUCAUUGUUCCCGAAUCCUGCUGCUGAGCCUCAAGCAGCUGUACACAGAACUGCUGCAGGAGCAUGGGCCCCAGGGCCUGAAUGAGCUUCCUGCCUUCAUCGAGAUGAGGGACCUGGCCCGGAGGUUUGCCUUGAGUUUUGGACCCCAGCAGCUGCAGAACCGUGACCUCGUGGUCAUGCUACACAAGGAAGGCAUCAAGUUCUCCUUGUCUGAGCUUCCUCCAGCUGGCUCCUCCAAUCAGCCUCCAAAUCUGGCAUUCCUGGAGCUCCUUUCAGAGUUUUCCCCCCGACUCUUCCAUCAGGACAAGCAGCUUUUACUGUCCUAUCUAGAAAAGUGCCUGCAGCAUGUCUCCCAGGCACCUGGCCGUCCCUGGGGCCCAGUCACCACCUACUGCCACUCCCUCAGCCCUGUGGAGAACACAGCAGAGACCAGCCCUCAGGUCCUCCCCAGCUCCAAGAGGAGGCGCGUUGAAGGGCCUGCCAAGCCUAACAGAGAGGACGUCUCCUCGUCCCAGGAAGAAAGUCUGCAGCUGAACAGCAUCCCGCCCACGCCCACCCUCACCUCCACAGCUGUGAAGAGCAGGCAGCCCCUGUGGGGGUUGAAAGAGAUGGAGGAAGAAGAUGGCUCAGAGUUGGAUUUUGCCCAGGGUCAGCCCGUUGCAGGCACCGAGAGGUCAAGGUUCUUGGGUCCACAAUAUUUCCAGACUCCACACAACCCUUCAGGUCCUGGCCUGGGCAACCAGCUGAUGCGACUCAGCCUUAUGGAAGAGGACGAGGAAGAAGAGUUAGAAAUCCAGGAUGAGUCAAAUGAAGAACGGCAGGAUACAGACAUGCAAGCAAGUAGCUACUGUUCCACCAGUGAGCGCGGGCUGGACCUCUUAGAUUCUACAGAGCUGGAUAUUGAGGAUUUCUGACAGGACUCUGGGCCCCUCCCCAGCUCCACUCCCUACCUCAAGAAUGUGACCAUUUGGAAAAGGCAGAGAAAAGGAGCAAAAUGAAGCAUUCCCCCAGGCUUCAGCCCUGGGCUCUGAGGGGAAAGAGUUGGGCAUUGUUUUUCUAACCUAACCUUUCCCUCUGGGGUAGAGAAGCCGAGAGACCCUGUCCUCCCUAAUGCACUGUGGCCCAGUCCCCUUGCCUUUUUCCUGUUCUGUUUGGAGUGGAGAAGGGCAGCACCUCUGUGUUUAAUGGAAAUAGCCCAUGGUUUUCUGGAUUUUUGGAACAUCUUUCUCAGCCUAUUUUGUGUCCUAAUGAUUCGCUCAAUAAACAUGUUUGAAUCCA